rnacentral:rRNA from 1 species
UACGUAGGGGGCAAGCGUUGUCCGGAAUCAUUGGGCGUAAAGAGCGUGUAGGCGGUCCAGUAAGUCCGCUGUGAAAGUCAAGGGCUCAACCCUUGAAAGCCGGUGGAUACUGCUGGACUAGAGUCCGGAAGAGGCGAGUGGAAUUCCUGGUGUAGCGGUGAAAUGCGCAGAUAUCAGGAGGAACACCGAUGGCGAAGGCAGCUCGCUGGGACGGUACUGACGCUGAGACGCGAAAGCGUGGGAGCA